GAUCUCAGGCUUUCCCUGGUCAUGAUACUUCUGAAGAUUGUAGUUGUUGUUAUGGACGGUGGAAAUGGUUGGUUCUGAUGGUUUUGGUCUUUUGCGGAUUGUUAUUGUUUUUUACGAGGGGCGGCGUGAUCCUUUUCAAUCUCGCAUGUUGUAUCACAAUAUGUUUUCGUUUUUAAUGUUGUCCAUCAAUUAUUCUUAUAUGUGUGACACCAGCAUACUUAUCUGUUGAAUGCCAUGUACAGGCAGAGGAAGUUGUGGUGGAAAAGACCAAAACAAUGAUAAAAAGCCUCUACAUCUUGUCAAAGGUGCCUUUGGACAGUUGCAAAUCAGCUUGUACUUGUAGCAGCAGCUGGACAGGGUCCUGCAAUGCUCGCUCCAUGGGGUGCAGGCUCAUCGUCUACCAUUACUGCCUCUCCGUGCUGGUUCCUACCAAUCUAAAACCGCUCAGGGGUGUUUGGAUUCAGCCACUAAAAUUUAGUUGAGGCCGAGGCCCUCUUUGAGCUCUACAAGAUCAGUUGUUCUAUCAUCGACGACGACCUAUCAACGAGGCGCAUUCAAUAAAAUUCCUCUUCGAUUCCUGUAUCUGUCGUGCAUAUUCUUGUCAUUCAUGACGUGAUUUGGGGUUGAUUUGAACAUCUAUUUUUUUGAAUGAAACAUUCCUUGCACUUGGAAGAUGUGUUUUUUUGUUGCUUUAGGCCUCGGACAAUUUCUUUGGAUUUAAAUAUGGAGGAAAUGGUUACAAAAGACCUGGGAUAGUGACACUCUGUCAUCCUAGGCUAAUGAGAUUGAGCACCUGGUAAUUCCAGCAACAGAUUACCUCUUUGAACCUUCACUCUAGGAUAUUUCUCAAGCCAUAGAUUUCAUCCAUAGGAAUGCAUCACAAGGUGGUACCACAUUACCCAUGAUCUACGUGCUCGGAGACUCCCUGGCGCCUGUCGAGAACAACAAUAACCUGGUGACACUGCUCAAGGCCAACUUCCUACGAAACAACAUCGACUACCUAGGGCACAAGGCCACCGGCUGCUUCAGCAAUGGCAAGAACUCCAUCGACUUCCUCGGAAGAAGGUAGGGGAAAAGCAGGGAAGUAGGUCGUACCACGGUGCCUCGUGCUAUCGCUAACGAGGGAGCUCGCUCAACAAGUAAGCCAUUGAAUAUUGUUUUUUGAGUAUCGUGGUUGAAUUUGUUUAUUUUUCGUGAUUUUAUUUAUUUUUACAAGUUCCAUGUUGAUUUCCUCCCGUGCACGAGUGUCCCUGCAGCCAUAGGGAGACCACAUCGAGCUGCACCAGAAGCGCCAUGGUAAGCACUUGGACCACGAAGUGCGCAAGCACGAGGCGCGCGAGGUGCAUAGGCCUCAAAGGACACCCGCAAUGUGUAGUUCUGAUCUGAUAAGUUUAUGCACUUUUGGUUUUGUUGUUCAUGUGCGCCCAUUGUUGAUGAUCACGUGUCUUGUGCUGUUGUAGUUGAUUGGUACUAAGGGCAAGAGGUUUGUCAAGAAACGCUAUGCUAAGAAGGCGCAGAUGAAGAAGACAUAAGUGCUUGUUUGCUGCUCCUGUUUAUGUGUUGAUAUUUGUGAGCCAAUAACUUUUAACCAUGACUGCUUUACUGGUGUAUCAUACCCUGAGUAACGGUUGUGAGCAUGAAAAAUUGCUUACGCCCCAUAGAGGUUAUGACUCAGCUUGUCAGCCAUCCCCAACUAAGUUGUGUUCUUCUGAACCAUGCUACUUUGUUCUUUACUGCAACCUGCAUUCGUUGAUGUGAACAAACUGAUUAUGUAUUCCUCUGAUCAUUACUUAGAUGAGGAACAAUCUCUUUGUAUUAUGUGGUCUGACUAUCGUGGUGGAAUUUGUUUAAUCUGUUUAUGUGAUUUGCAAAAGAAAAUGCAAUGAGUAUGCGCCUUUGUGAAAUAAUAAAGUUAACUAUGCAUUAACUCUUUUCAAAGGCACCACAACACUUUUUGUUGGUUGAUGGCAUAGAAUAAUCUCGCUUAUCAGUUAAAAUUGUGAAUUUGUGGGGUAUUUUUUGGGCCGCUAUCGAACAUGUCAAGAAUGAAUAAUGCUACAGAUCUGCUCAUGGGUAGCUAGAACAUCUCCAUCAAUUCUGCUCUUUAAUUCUAAUCUAAUGGAUAUCACAAAAUCUUGGGGAGUUUUUUUUCAUCAGUAUGAUAACUAGAACAUAUUCAACAGUUUUGUUGUGUUCAUCAAAACACGGUUACUUUCAAGUCUUCAUCAAAAUAAGGUUACUUCAAUCUACUUUUUUCUCACUCUCUUCCUCAAUCAUCGUUUUUCCAUUGCCUGAUGUGGAUGCUACUCGUACUGAACGCCAGGUACCUUCUUUUCCCUACUUUGCCAAGAUUUCUUUUGAUUUUUUAAAAUUUAGACCCGAAUGAUAAGUAAACACUUGAAGUCAGCAAUCCUAAUAUAUAUCUUUGUUAUUUCCUUUCAAAAUCUUCUGUUAGCACUUCCCAUCUAUGUCUCCCCUGGUAGCAUCCACCUACUCUGAGUGUUUGGGUAGUAUCACUAGCAACAAAAAUCUAUUGAUCACAAACAACAAACAGUGAUCUCGACGCAUUUGGUCGGUAAUGCUAUUUUGAUGAAUGCACUUAGUUUGUAACUUUGUAAUAUGUGACAAAACAAUGUCAAUGAAAGAGCGAUAACUGAGGCAUUUGCCAUGCAGUUUAAUUGCUUUUAUGAUCAAUAAUUUUAUAUAGACAUUUGUCUCUAUCAAUGUUAAAGGAUUUUUCACAUACAUUUUUUGUUCUAAAAAAUAAAAUAGGGAAAACUCAAUUCAACUGUGUAGGCACAAUUUUGAAGCCAAGUUCACUGACGCUUGUUAUUGGCAUCAGGUUUCACGGUUGCGUGAGUACCAGGGUGUAGAUUCACGUUUUGAUGUGAUUGCAAGACAAUACCUUGAAAUUGUAUGGGUAAUCUUUCCGGUGUUGCUGCCAUUAGUUUGCUUGCUAACCAUGGUCGAGCUUCAGAAACUGGAGAGCAUGCAAUGGACAAUUCACCAG